UACGGGAGGCAGCAGUGGGGAAUCUUGCGCAAUGGGCGAAAGCCUGACGCAGCCAUGCCGCGUGAAUGAUGAAGGUCUUAGGAUUGUAAAAUUCUUUCACCGGGGACGAUAAUGACGGUACCCGGAGAAGAAGCCCCGGCUAACUUCGUGCCAGCAGCCGCGGUAAUACGAAGGGGCUAGCGUUGCUCGGAAUUACUGGGCGUAAAGGGAGCGUAGGCGGACAUUUAAGUCAGGGGUGAAAUCCCGGGGCUCAACCUUGGAAUUGCCUUUUGAUACUGGGUGUCUUGAGUAUGAGAGAGGUGUGUGGAACUCCGAGUGUAGAGGUGAAAUUCGUAGAUAUUCGGAAGAACACCAGUGGCGAAGGCGACACACUGGCUCAUUACUGACGCUGAGGCUCGAAAGCGUGGGGAGCAAACAGGGAUUAGAUACCCGU
rnacentral:rRNA from 1 species